AGCGGCGAACGGGUGAGUAAUACAUCGCGAACAUGCCCAGUCGUGGGGGAUAACACUUCGAAAGAAGUGCUAAUACCGCAUACGUCCUGAGGGAGAAAGCGGGGGAUCGCAAGACCUCGCGCGAUUGGAGUGGCCGAUGUCAGAUUAGCUAGUUGGUGGGGUAAAGGCCUACCAAGGCAACGAUCUGUAGCUGGUCUGAGAGGAUGAUCAGCCACACUGGGACUGAGACACGGCCCAGACUCCUACGGGAGGCAGCAGUGGGGAAUUUUGGACAAUGGGGGCAACCCUGAUCCAGCCAUUCCGCGUGAGUGAAGAAGGCCUUCGGGUUGUAAAGCUCUUUCGGCAGGAACGAAACGGCGAGCUCUAACAUAGCUCGCUAAUGACGGUACCUGAAGAAGAAGCACCGGCUAACUACGUGCCAGCAGCCGCGGUAAUACGUAGGGUGCGAGCGUUAAUCGGAAUUACUGGGCGUAAAGCGCGCGCAGGCGGUUGUGUAAGACAGGUGUGAAAUCCCCGGGCUUAACCUGGGAACUGCGCUUGUGACUGCACGA
rnacentral:rRNA from 1 species